CUCCUAUGGUUGAAUCAACUGUGUGCAUGUAAGCUAGGGACAAUCUUGUGUUGUGGCUGAGGGUGGAGCAGUGCCACAGUAAGCGGGAAAUGGGCUGUGGGAGGCUGGCCCUGCCGCAUCCACUGCCUGCCGGCGGCUCACCUUGAACUUGAAAUCGUCAUGGCUGGUGGAGCCUUUCAUGGUGAAUGACUGGGAGAAGCUGAGGAAGAAGCAGAGGGACUUCAGGAGGUUCAGCCCUGGGACCUAUGGCAACUCCUCCCACAAGCCCCAGCAUCCUCAUAAGAAGGGAAGAUCGGACACAGACAGGCACAGAGCAAAGACCACGUGACGAUGCAGGGAGAAGACAGGCCCCAGAAGAAACCAUCCCUGCCAACACCUUGACCUUGGACUUCCCACCCUCCAGAACCAUGAGAAAAUAAACCUCUUAUUUGAGGCUCCCAGAC